GACGAACGCUGGCGGCGUGCUUAACACAUGCAAGUCGAACGGAAAGGCCCUGCUUUUGUGGGGUGCUCGAGAGGCGAACGGGUGAGUAACACGUGAGUAACACGCACUUGACUUUGGGAUAACUUCAGGAAACUGGGGCUAAUACCGGGUAGGAGCUACUGAUGCAUGGUGGGGGUUGGAAAGUUUCGGCGGUUGGGGAUGGACUCGCGGCUUAUCAGCUUGUUGGUGGGGUAGUGGCUUACCAAGGCUUUGAAGGGUAGCCGGCCUGAGAGGGUGACCGGCCACAUUGGGACUGAGAGACGGCCCAGACUCCUACGGGAGGCAGCAGUGGGGAGUAUUGCACAAUGGGCGGAAGCCUGAUGCAGCAACGCCGCGUGCGGGAUGACGGCCUUCGGGUUGUAAACCGCUUUCGCCUGUGACGAAGCGGGAGUGACGGUAAUGGGUAAAGAAGCACCGGCUAACUACGUG
rnacentral:rRNA from 1 species